GAUCAGGCCAAAGGGAAGCUGGCCUCCCAGGAGCCCUAGGACAGUCUUCCAGAACAGCGUUCACCUCCCUGUCCCAACGGCCAGCUCUCUAGGGUUUGGAGGACUAAUCCUGGAGGGACCUGUCAUUGGUCCUUCCAGGUACCCUCACAGCCCCAGCCCUCCCCAGACGGAUGGCGGCCACCUGUAGAAAGCACACGCACAACAGCCCAGCCUCCGCGACAGGCCGCACUUUAUUUGGAGUUUUCCACAAAAGCGACUCCCAGCAGAGCCGCAUGAAACCCAGAUACCUAGAAGCCAGGUGGGCGGAAAAUCAAGUGACGGGCAACAGUAAAGAGAAGAAUUUGAUCUUCGAAACGGAUUCUCUGCGGCUGCACAUACGGAGCACAGAGUGAGGGCAGACCUGCUUGUUCCUGCUAAGCUGCCUGUGGUUUUCGCGUCAGACUGUGACUCAAUGUGAAUGGCCACUGGAGUCCUCCAGGCUGGGCCGGAGGGAUGCCCCCCACCCAGGGCACUCACCUGUGACUUUGGCCUUGAAGGGGCUGCCCACGAUGUGCUGCGGGCCACCGUACUUGAUAGCAAUGAGGUAGUUGCCAGGGGCCAUGGGAGUGUAAGUGACCACGUGGCCCUCAGGACACUCCCGACAGUCCAGCUGUACCUUGGAGGGGCCAUCGAUGGUGACAGACAAGGCCCCUGAGCCUGCGUUCAGGGUGUUGACGAUGAACUCCGAUGACACGCCUGGGGGUUGGAGGUAGUAAGGCUGUAGGCAGGAAGGGCUUGGGGCCCAGGGCUGAGCCGGGGCCCAGAGCUGAGCCGAGCCCCAGGCUCCCACAGCAGACCUCUGCAGCGCCUCAGCCCUCUGGGUCAGGGCAGUACAGGACCAGAAGCCGAGUACCCCAAUAUCCAGCCCUCUUCCCCAGACCCAGACACUCACCAGUAGUGCCUCCCUCAAGCCCAGGACCGUAAGCUGACACCAAGCCUGGGUCCCCAGCCUGGCUCUGCUCCCCAACACGGAUCUUGAAGGGACUGCCAGGGAUGUGGGCACCGUUGAACUUGACAUCAAUAGAGUGGACGCCGUUUUCAUGGGGGAUGAAGCGGAUGGCGUGUUUGUCUGUUGGGCAGAGGGCUAGUGAGUAAGCCUUUGUUCUUCCCCUCCCCAUCCCCCAGAAGGGCCCGGCAUGGGGGGACAAGGCCAGGGCCAGCUCACCGCUGUCCAGCUCAGAGACGUAGCACUCCUCUACCGCGCCCGAGGGCGUGUGCACGCGAGCAUCGAUCACACCCCGAGCACCGUUCAGCUGCACUGCAAAGGACGCCGGCUGGUUCACCCUGAGACCUGUCUCCUGCAGAGGCCACAGAAGGUCCUACCCCUGAGCACAUACCUGGAGGCUGGUGACGGUGAGGCGGCGAGCGUCAUCUGAGAGGGAGGCCACAGGCACCACAAAGGGACUGUCUG